rnacentral:misc_RNA from 1 species
AACACUGUUAACCUGCGGUACCUGCGGAGGGAUCAUUACCGAAGUACAGGCCCUUUUACAGGGCUAAACUUCCACCCUUUGUUUACUAUUCUUUGUUGCUUUGGCGAGACGUCUUCGGACCACCGGCUCUUGGGCUGGUGAGCGCUCGCCAGAGGAAAAUCAAACCCAAACCUUUUUUAGUGUCGUCUGAGAAACAAGUUUAAUUAUUAAAACUUUCAACAACGGAUCUCAGAUCGGAAG